GUGUGUAGUAAAUGUCUUUCAUAAAGAACAGUGAAGAUGACAAAAUGAAUAUUUGAUAGCAACAGUUACAAUAUGGAGAAGCUGAAGAACUGCCAAGAACUUACCUGAAUAACUUAGAAUCAUAAUGAAUAGAUUUGGAAAAUAUUAUGAAUUGUUUGUAGUUAAAAAGAAAAAGGGGGAAACUGGCAGAAUCCAUUAUUUUCUGACUUUCAUUAUUCAUAAAAACUCAAUUAUCUUUGCUACAAGAUAAGUGAUUAAUACAGAUAGGUUAUGCUGAUAUGCCUGACAAGAAGACAAUUGAGCGAGAAAUUUUUCCCUGCAUGGAAAAAGAGCUUCUCAGCCUAGCACAUGAACCUUUUUGGUUACAAAUAAAAUUGUGCUGAGUUUUUGUGGAAUGAUUGUUUCAGGUAUCCAAAAAGCAGAAAUAACAACAGCCAUCCUGCUUUGACAAUAAAGAUAUCAACCCUGAAUAGUCUUUCAAAUAUUGUCUGCUUGGAUUUCCUUUGUUUUCAUUACUUUGAUUUUAUUCCACCUUUUCCCCAUAUGGGAUCCAAAGUAGAUUACUGUACAACUUAAAAUAAAACAGCUAAAUGUUGAUGUGGUAGAAAAAUGCAUGAAACAAUUAACUCAAUGAAAACUUUAAUAUAAAAAUAAUUAAAACACAUUAAAUAUACAACACACACCAACUUAUUUUCCUUCCACUAAUUAAGAGUUGAAGCCCUGUUUGAAUGUGAUGGUCUAUGUCUGCCAGCAAAAAAGAGCACAGAGAAGGAACCAGUUGAGGGAAUUCCACAACCUAGAAACAUUUGGAGAAAUUUCUCCCAAUAGAUGCCCCUGCACUGUAGAAUUAAUGCAGAUUUAUUGCAGUUUUUUUAACCCACAUGACCAACAGAUCAUACUGAAAGGGUUUGCAGGGGGACUGACCCGUCUGGGUGGGAGUUGUAGUUCACAGUGUACCCAGAGAGCACUCUAAACCCUACCAAUGACGGGUCUGGAUCAAACUUGGCACAACAAGCCUUGAUGACCAAACAUACUAGAGAUGUUUGGGGGGGGGGGGCGCGCUGACCUACCUGGGUGGUAAUCUGGACCAAACUUGGCACACAGACCCAACAUGGAUAACUUUGAAUACAAGCAGGGUUUGGGGGUGAUUGACCUUGGAAUCUGGGGGUUGUAGUUAAUCUACAUCUAGAGAGAGCUGAACCCAGGCGGUGACAGCUCUGGACCAAACUUGGCACACAGACUCAACAUGGACAACUUUGAAUACUAGGACAGGAUGUAGGACAGGAUGUACAGAUUCCAUUUCAUGUGUUAAAUCUACAGGCACUGCUGGGAAUGGACCCCACUUUGUUUCAGCCAUAGAAAGGCUGCAACCCUCUUGUGGCUGUGGCUAGGGUCUAGCAUUAUUCUCCUUCUUCAUCUGCAGAGACCUCCUCAAAAGAAGGCACAAUAAUGUAAACCAGGGAUAGGACUUAUGAAAUCAACAAGCUGGAUGUGAUCCAGGGAAAUAUAUGUUCCUUGACUUCACAUUUCUAAUUAACUUUCCAACAUCAUUCUAUCAAUAAUAAUAAUAAUAAUAAUAAUCAUCAUCAUCAUCAUAUUUACUCGAACCCAGUGUGUCAUUGAAUGAAAUGCACAUCUCAGUUUUCAAAACCCUGCAACCAAAAGAAGUAUUUGCUGGCUAAUGUAAUGUGCAAUGGUGAAAAUUGAACUACAAUGUUCCCUCACUUAUCGUGGGGGUUCCGUUCCAGGACCUACCGCGCGAUAAGUGGAAAUCCGUGAAGUAGGGACACUCUUUUAAUUUUAAUAUUUAUAUAUUAUUUUAAUUUUUAUGUGGCCUUUUUCCCCCUUGCAAGCCCUGGGGAGCUAGUGAACACUUCCCUACCAGCGCCAGAUGGGCCCUUGCUUUGGGCCCACCAUGUUGCUCUGGCUGCCUCUGCUCCUGCAGCCAGGGAAGAAGGAAUGUUGCUCCUGCCGGAUGAGUGAGCAAGGGAGGGUGGGUGAGAGAGUGAAGGCCGGCGGUGGCAGCAAGAGCCUGGAAGAGGCGGCCAGGUCUGGCUUCUGCUGCUGCUCCAGCCGGGCCACGCUGGAAAAUGUGGAGGACUCGGAAGAGGGGGCGGAGUCCUCCAGGAGUCAAUCGCUCAUGUCCAAGAAUGAUUACCUUCCAAGUGUAGUGUCUUGGCAGUGGUUGCAUAGGUGACUGUAGAAACUUGUUCUUGAUCUGCAUGUUCUUCCACAGUGAGUACAUCGAUAUCCAGGUGGAAGGCUUGGCUUGAUGCACCUUCUUGACACAUUUCUCCCUUUCACCUCCCUUUGUAUCUCUUUGAAUUCCACAGCACUGUUGGUCACAAAAGAGGUGAGCAUCAUAUUCGAGCAAAUACAACAACAACAACAACAACAACAACAAUAACAACAACAACAACAACAACAAAAAUAUAAAAGGAGAACAAUUGGGUCUUCAGGAGAUAUAAUUCUCUAUAUAGUUUGAAAGCAGACCUAGCAUGGAACUAACAAGAAUAUCACAAUUGGCUUAGUGAAAAUAGUAAUGGUGCAGCCUGCUGGGGACCAAGUGACUCACUCCUGCUAUGAAUUCAGAAACAGAUACUACUAAAUUCACUAUAACUUAGGCCCCUUCCACGCUGACCUGGAAUCCCAAGAUCUGAUCCGAGAUUAUCUGCUUAUCCCAAAUUAUCUGGCAGUGGAAACUCAUGUAAUCCAGUUUAAAGCAGAAAAUCCGGGAUCAGAUCCUGGAUAUAGGGCAGAAGGGGGCUUAGUUUUAAGUUGUAUAGCAUAACUUGAAUUCUAUUGUUAGUCCUAACUACAGCAGACAAAUUGAAUCAAUGGGCACUCCUUAUGUAUUAAGACAGUGUUCUUAUUACAGUACCUUCAAGUCAUUUCCAAUUUAUGGAGAUCCUGAGAUGACCCUAUUACUGGGUUUUCUUGGCAAGAUUUGUUCAGGGGAAUGUCUUAUAACCUUUUGCUGUCAGAAAAUGUGACUUGCCCAGUGAGUUUUCAUGGCCUAGUGCAAAUUCAGAUCCUGGUCUUCUGGAUUCUAAAUCUAAUGUCAAACCAAUACAUAAUGUGGAUUCUGUAUUAACAAGCCAUUCAACAGUCGAUUCCAUGAGUCUGCUCUAACUGGGAUUAGCCAAUAAGAUUCAAGUUUCUUUUUCUUCUUUGUCUUCCUGAGAUAAUCUCUAUGUCCAUAUUUUCAUCUCCCAAAUUCCAUGUACUGGCAUAGAGAUAUUUUUAAAGUAAUACAAAGGCUAAUACUAACAUUAUAUUUUCUGUAUUCAGCAGAACCACAAAACAGGAACAACAGAUUGGUGCUUCUCCUGUCAGACAAUGAAGCCAUGUGCCUAGCAACUGACAAAAAUUCAACAUUCCCUUUCCUGCCAGGCAGAAUGGGCAAACAAGCCUGGAAGAACUUGGGACCAAUCCAGGAAAGCUGGCUUCUUCUCAGCAAGUCAUAUUAUUCCUAAUUAAAAUGGAAAAUGAACUAGUAACAGAGGGCCAGACACAACAAUCAAGUUGAUAUGGAAGAUAUCUGAAUUAAGUAAUGUGUAUGAGGCAGAACAUUGGCAAACACCAAGAAGGCAACUGAAAUCUUCUCAUUCACACAUAGUAACUUGCCAUGCAUUGUAGGAAGUUCUUGAACAGCAAGGCUUGAAUACCAUUCACAUUUGCUUCAGAAUUAAUUUCAGCAAGUACAGCUGCCUCUCUCUCUAAAGUAGCACACUGUUGUCUUGCUCUUAAAUGAGUUCAGAAGCUGAAGCACAAAAGGUCUGCAACAACAGAUAAGCCAAGAUCAAGAAGCCAUAAUUCAGAAUGAAGUCCAGUCUGUGGAUCAUAAAUCCAAAUCUUGCAACAGCAGGAUCCAGUGGUCCUGAGGUGGACUGAAGUUGAUUUCAGUAGCCAGUCCAGCAGACAUGAGCCUAAAAUCAUAGAGUUGGAAGAGACCACAUGGACCAUCCAGUCCAAUCCCCUGCCAUGCAUGAAAAUUACAUUCAAAGUACCCCUCUGCUUAAAAGCCUCCAAAAAAAAGAGCCUCCACUACACUGCAUGGCAGAGUUUCACUGCUGGAUAGCUGUUAUAGGGCACUUCCAGAUUAUACUUAAACCCACUUAAAAACCUGCUUCAAAGUGGGUUUAAGUCCCCAACCCACCCUCCAAAAAUGAGGGGAGCAAUUUGCCCUCCCCCUGCCUCCUGGCGCAUCAUUGGUACAUUCCAGGAAACCUGCAGAGAGGCCUAAUGGUGACCUGGUAAGUUUUCCUUUAUUUUUAAGGCUUUUAGGGGGGUUGGGGGAGGGGAAGUGCCCUCUUCACUUCUCCGGGCUCAUGGAGCUGGAAAAAGCAAAUUGGACUGUGCGGAUAGACUACUGGGACUGCGGAAGGCCCAAGUCCAAUGGAAUAUCAAAGUAAUUCAGGACAAAGCAGGGUUUACCAGCUUUGUCUUGAAUUACUUCACUUUUGCCUGAGCCGUUGUUUGUACGCCCCAGGUAAAAAUCCUACAGGGCCCACAAUACAGGCCCUGUCUGGAAGAGCCCACAGUCAGGAAGUUCUUCCUCGUGUUCAAAUGGAAUCUCCUUUCCUGUAAUUUGAACUUAUUGCUCCAAGUCCUAGUCUCCAAGGCAGCAGAAAACAAGCCUGCUCCCUACUCCUUAUGACAUCUUUUUACAUAUUUAUACAUGGCUAUCAUGUCUCCUCUCAACUUUCUUGUCUGCAGGCUAAACAUACCCAGCUCUUUAAGAUGUUUCUCAUGGGGCAUGAUCCCCAGAUCUCUGAGUAUUUUAGUCUCCCUCCUCUGGACACAUACCAUGACUUCCCUCGAUCUAGACACUGUACUCUUUCUGAUGCAUCCCAAAAUCCUAUAGCUUUUUGUGUUCAACUUGUUGUCCACAAACACUCCAAGAUCUUUUUCACAUGGACUGUUGUUGACCCAGACACCACCCAUUCUAUAUCUUUGCAUUUCAUUUUUUGCUGCCUAAGUAUAGCAUCUUAUAGGAGCCCCGGUGGCUAAGUGUGUUAAAGCACUGAUCUGCUGAACUUGCAGACCGAAGGGUCGCAGGUUCAAAUCCCAGGAGCGGAGUGAGCGCCUGCUAUUAGCUCCAGCUUCUGCCAACCUAGCAGUUCGAAAACAUGCCAAUGUGAGUAGAUCAAUAGGUACUGCUCCGGCGGGAAGGUAACGGCGCUCCAUGCAGUCAUGCCGGCCACAUGACCUUGGAGGUGUCUAUGGACAACGCCAGCUCUUCUGCUUAGAAAUGGAGAUGAGCACCAACCCCCAGAGUCAGACAUGACUGGACUUAACGUCAGGGGAAACCUUUAUCUUUUUAUAGCAUCUUAUAUUUGUCCUUGUUGAAAUUCAUUUUGUUAAAUUUGGCCCAGCUUUCUUCUAACUAAGAUUCUUCUGUGAUUCUACUAACUGGAAAAGGACUUGACUAUUUAGCAGGCUGCACAAUUAGGACUCAGCUGCCAUGGCCAUCUGUCAGGGAUACUUUGUGCAUUUCCUGCAUAAGAGAGGGUUGGACUAGAUGACCCAUGAGGUUUCUUUCAACUCUAUUAUUCUAUGAUUCUAUUACUCUUUUUUGUCUUCUAGUAAAAAACAAACUCUUCAGGGCAUGGUGACAGGUGGCAUGACAGCUUUAAAGCUGAAGUGGGAACCUAUUGGGCCUAAUGUAGAAGAACCUGUUAGCUUUGAGGUAUGGUGCCUGAAGCCACGCCGGUUUUCCCUCAUCUAUCCCCCUCCCCAAAUAAAGAAUCUUACCUCCAGCAUUCCCAUAGAAAUUGACUGCUUUUUCCUAACUCCUAUGGACUGCUUUCCUUCCCAAGCCUCGCUGUUAAGACACUUCUAUGGGCUGAUUGUACAAGUUGCAUGCUCUAAUUGGACCCUGUCCUAUAUUUUCCCCCUGAAGGGAAAAGCUAUGUUGAGGAGAAAGGGAAAGAAGACACACCAUCCAACAAUGAGUAUAUUAUAUUUUCCUUCAAUGCUUGCUUUGCAGUACAGAGUAAACUGUAAGAAUCUUUUAUGCUUCAAUCCUACAGCAUAAUCGUGGCUUCAUAAUGGCACAUCAAUAAAAUCGAGCAAGUUUGGAUUGGGGCAAUUUUAAGUGCUAGAAAUAUGCCAGAAUGUUUGGAGAUUUAAAGUUAAGCAAGAUCAUCUGUGUCAAUCUACUGUCAAGGAGCUGGCAGAUAUCUGUGGGGGUUUUAUCUGCAUUUGAAAGAAUGAAUAAAAUCAAAAUCAAAAUAGA